ensembl:misc_RNA Metazoa_SRP Metazoan signal recognition particle RNA
CCUGGGCGUGGGGGCACACGCUCGUAGUCCCAGCUACACAGAGGCUGAGGCAGGAGGAUCACUUGAGCCCAGCAGUUCUGGGCUGCAGUGCGCUAUGCUGACUGCGUGCCACACAGCAUCAAUGUGGUGACCUCCUGGGAGCGGGGGACGGCCAGGUUGCCUGAGGAGGGGUCAACUGGCCCAGGUCGGAAAGAGAGCAGGUCAAAACUCCGGUGCUGAUCAGUAGUGGGAUCAGUGAAUAGACAUUGCACUCCAUCCUGGCAACACAGUGAGACCCAUCUCUU